UCUCGCCUCCCCUCUCUGUUUCUGUCAAUUUUCAGGUAGCAACAACACUGCAGGGGUGAAGAGUAAUUAGUGCCCCUUCUCGAACAUAGCUACCUCGGUCUUGGACAUCAGAUUUCCAUUGUGUUGUAGCGAACCCCUGGCCUUGGUGCAUCAUGAUGGAGUUCUAUGUCACUACAGACAGUGGGGUUUGUGGAGCAGCCACGCUUGGUUGUCGAUUUUCUAGGAUGAGGAGGCAUGCAAGGUCUCCGUGGUAUUCAUCUAGGGUCCACAUGGAACGCAGGGAUUCACGAUGACACAUAUAGAUUUGAGAGGUUUCAUGGAGUGUUGCUUUGCUCCAAUUUUUAACAGUUUGGACAGAUAGGUUUGGUUCAGCCACAGUUUUUUAGUUUCCCUCCACUGAAUUGGUUUGGUUUAUGUGGUGCCCCUAAUGCUAUUUACUCUAAAUUAAAUAGGUAAUGAUCCAUUUUCCUUAGAAGAAAAUUGCAGGAGCAUAUAAUUAGUAUAGAAACUAUAAUUUCAUCUAUAGUUAGACAAGACUGUAACUAAUAUCUGUCUCAUGUAGCUUUAUUAUGUGUAUGUAUGAAAGCCUAGAACAAUGUACCAACUUCUAUAUGAUAGUAAAGUUUUGGAAAAGAAAGAUAUAUAUACAAUGGUAAAUGUACUAUUUCAAUCGUGCUUCUUCAGUUCUAGCUAAAAUUUGCAUAAUUCUAGAAAAUAGAUCUACUGAAGUAAUGUAAGCCAUUUAAGAAAUAAUAAAACCAUUACUCAAUGCAGUUGUUCUCUUGUUUCUACGUAUCUCAUAUCAACCAGUUGAAUCUGUGUUUUACCAUUGAUUGAUGAUCUAUUAUAUUACACCGGUUUUUCAAAAAAAAUUCUAGAUGGUAUAUAAUCAUAUUUGUGUUUGCAUCCGUUCUUUUCGAUCUCUUGCUGUUGGAAUUCUGUCAUGACAGCAGGAACUGUAAGAUGGUAUAUUAAUGCCAAGAAAGUUAUGUUAGAGUGGUUAGUGGUGAAUUCAUAUAAGAGUGGUUAGUGAUGUAUUAGGAUAGCAUAAAAGCCAUACAUUGAUCGCUCAGCUGCCAAGAACUCUCAGGAUCUCUCAGGCUUCAGUAGCCUAAGAUCGUAGAUCACUAGAAAGAGUAGAAACUCAAUGCUAUUAUAUCCUGGCCAUUCCAAUUUCUUUCUACUGAUUGUACUAGGUACCUAGGACAUGUUAGAGACCAGCGAAGAGCUGCCACGUGACCUGUAUCUUCUGCAAUCUUCUGGUUGAGGAGACUUGUGAGUGCUACUGCGAGUGGAAAUGUAGUGUCUCAGAGAGAGUCAUGAGGUGAUUGGGUUUGAUUACUGAACUUUACAAGUUUCAACUGUGCUGAGGUUCUUUGCUUGCAAUUCUUUAGCAUUUAGUAAUUGAUCUCAACUAUGCGGUUGCUGUUAUUUCAAGAUAACAACUUGAGGCUGAAGGCCAACAAUAGACACACGAGAUAUUUUGAUUUUUUGCAACCAGUGAAUUCUUGAUCUGGACAAAUAACAGUGUAAUUUAUCCUCCUUCAGCUUUUCUCAAUUAGUUUGUAUGGUACUAUGCAAAUGAUGCUAAAUUAAUUUUGUUGUUG